CCUACGGGUGGCAGCAGUGAGGAAUAUUGGUCAAUGGACGAGAGUCUGAACCAGCCAAGUAGCGUGAAGUAUGACUGCCCUAUGGGUUGUAAACUUCUUUUAUAUGGGAAUAAAAUGUUCCACGUGUGGGAUUUUGUAUGUACCAUAUGAAUAAGGAUCGGCUAACUCCGUGCCAGCAGCCGCGGUAAUACGGAGGAUCCGAGCGUUAUCCGGAUUUAUUGGGUUUAAAGGGAGCGUAGGUGGAUUGUUAAGUCAGUUGUGAAAGUUUGCGGCUCAACCGUAAAAUUGCAGUUGAAACUGGCAGUCUUGAGUACAGUAGAGGUGGGCGGAAUUCGUGGUGUAGCGGUGAAAUGCUUAGAUAUCACGAAGAACUCCGAUUGCGAAGGCAGUUCACUGGACUGCAACUGACACUGAGGCUCGAAAGUGUGGGUAUCAAACAGGAUUAGAUACCCGAGUAGUC
rnacentral:rRNA from 1 species